GAAGAAGCACGCGAUGAAGGAGAACUGGAUGACGAAUGCUGGAAAAGCCAAUUGCUUUUUAAUUGUUCAUUUAAAAUCUCAAAGCAGCACUGGUUUUUCUUCCAAAAGAAUUACAUGUUACAUCAGAUCAUUUUAUGAUUGAAUAUUUCAUCUUACCUAUACUGGUACAAAUUUUAUCCGACAACUCCAUAUUCCAUAACUGUGUAAUUGCUAACAUCGUAAAAGCCAGCGCUAAGGAUCCACAAUAACGACACAAUGCCCUUCCAAAAAUAUCUCGCAAAUUUGGUGUGAUGGAAUACGCUGCGAUGAAAAACAUACAAAAGUGUGAAGUCCUAAAUCUGGCACGAUUUCUGCACAGUAGUUGAUUCCAGGUUGCAGCAUUGUCGGAUCGUGAUUCGGUGCAUAUACAGAACCGUUCGUUAAUAAAUAAUUGUUAUCUCUGU